rnacentral:rRNA from 1 species
GGGUAAUGCUUGGGAAUCUAGCUUAUGGAGGGGGAUAACUACGGGAAACUGUAGCUAAUACCGCGUAGAAUCGAGAGAUGAAAGUGUGGGACCUUCGGGCCACAUGCCAUAGGAUGAGCCCAAGUGGGAUUAGGUAGUUGGUGAGGUAAAGGCUCACCAAGCCGACGAUCUCUAGCUGGUCUGAGAGGAUGACCAGCCACACUGGGACUGAGACACGGCCCAG